UUUGCGGAAUCAUGGUGGGAACUGUAGAAAACCUAGAAACAGCGAGGAUGAGGUUCGCUUCGCUCCACUCAACCUUGGCCUUGGCUUCCCCCAUUGGCUGGGUCAUGUCUGAGCGCGUCACGGAUAUCACUCCCGGUGUCACUCUCGGCCGAUGCUAGCCAACCAUUUCCGCCCUUAUCACUAUCUCGUCUCUAGGUUUCUGAAGCUUGUUUUUAGAUCUAGGAUUUGCAAGAGUCUGAUUAGGGGUUCUGUUAGGCGAGAUUUGUUCCAUUGAUUAGGAUGUUAGGAAUUGAAUUUUCACAGCACUGAUUACGACAUGCUAAACCUUGGUGCAGAUAAAAUUCACUAGUAUCAUUGAUUUCUGGUUUGUUGGAUAUUGGAUAAGCCCUUUAGUAUAAAAUAAUUGUGGAUUUGUGAGCUAAAAACUCAUCUUUAGAUCAAGUGUAAAAUGAAUCAACUUUGAGGAUCAUUUGCACCUUUUUUUUCUUGUUCUCAAUUGGCUUUCACACAGUUUGGGUUGAUCGGGGUGCAUUUCCCUGAGAUAGGUUGCGUAUUUAACUCGAAGAAACUAAACAUAUUCCUAUUCUCCUGAAUUUGGCAUGGCUUUUAUGUGAUAAAUGGCAAUGAAAACUACAUAAAGCCAUGGAGGGAAACAGACAAGUAGUCAAAAGUGAGUGAACCCUCUAGUCUGUGGUUAGGAGUUGCCGCCUACAGCUGAUACAAUUCUGGUUGUGUGUCAGUUAUUUUUGGUUUUGUUAUCUUGAAUGUGUUGAUUUAUAUUCUGAAUUUCCAAUACUGCAUGCCUACAGUUAUUAUUUAUUAGGUCCUUGCGAAUUCUCAAUCAAUGUGUCUCCUAUCAACGUAUCCAUGUACAAAAUAGCCCGCUAAUAGCCUGCUAUUGUCCGCUAUUAGCUUUUUAAGAGAUCUCCCGCUAUGCUAUACAAUAUUUGUCCGCUAUGUCCGCUAUAGGGGUUUUUAUAAGAUUCAGUGAUAAUAAAUGUCCGCUACUUCCGCUAAAGAUGUAGCCAAAAGAAAUAAAGAAUCAAUAUAACUAGGGUGGACUAUAGACAAAACAUCACGUGCACAGUUAGGCAGUCAAGAGACGUGUUGAGUCUAUUUUAGAAUGUUAGACCAAUGAUGUUUCUAAUUUUGUAUGCAUUAUGGACGCAUGGCUAUGAAAAGUUUGUUGAAAUUGGUUGCAUUACUGAUGUUAUUGGCCACAUUAUGCAUAUUUUUUUGCAAACUGCUAAAUGGAUAGCUCCGCUAUAGCUUUCGCUAUAUCUCUCUUAGCUUUUUGGAAGGGUUUCCGCUAAACGUCUUAGCCCGCGAUUUUAUACCUUGCAACGUAUUCUAGAAGAACUUCUAGAAAUUGAUUCAAUGAUGAUCAGUUUUUUUUUGGAAAAUUUCUUAUUGUGAAAGCAGGAGUUUUUUUAAACCUUGUUUUAUUUGUUAAAUACUUAAAUACUAAAGAGACCUAAUUGUUUUGUUGCUAUAGUUGUUGCAAAAAUAUUGAUUGUGUUUUCUUGAUGUUCCUUACAGGCCACAAGAAACCAACAAAAAAAAUAGCUUAAUGGGAUUAACGGCAUUUGCUUUAUAGAUCCUGAUUCCAGUUCCACACUACGAAUUACUAUGGAUGGAUAUGGAUUCUUUGUUACUUUGCCUCUGAUGUGUUCAAAGGUACGCAAUAUGUUUUUUUAUGUCCAGAACAGGUUACAACAUUCUUUGGUACUUUGUCUCUAAUGUGUUCAAAGGUAUGCAUAUAUGUUUUUAUGUCCAGAACAGGUUACAGCAUUCUUGCUGCGUACAGUAUGCCUGCUUUCACCCCUUUUUUCUUCUUCUAUCAGUUGUAUUGCACUCAAGCAGUUUCCCAGACUGUCCUCUAUUUUUUGGGGCUUGACAGGUGGUUCCCUGGUGGUUUGGUUCUUUGUUCUGGUUAAAAUGCAUCGGUUGUGUUGCAAUCUGAGCAGGGGGCCUCCAGCAGAGAGCCAAUAAGGCGGCUGUCGUGUGGUGCUGUCGCUGACUCGCUGGUCUUUCUGUCCUUUUUUUUUUUACCUGGAGUUGCUGUAUUGGAUGCGCGUAGCUAAAUUUAGUAAUAGUUAGCUUAGCGCGGUAGCAAUAUAGCAUCGUUGAAAGCUGAAAUAAAGUCGUCUUCCUUAGUGCCA